GAUGAACGCUAGCGGCAGGCCUAACACAUGCAAGUCGAGGGAGGAGCUUUCGGGCUUCGACCGGCGUACGGGUGCGUAACGCGUAUACAAUCUGCCUUUCACAUAGGGAUAGCCCGAAGAAAUUUGGAUUAAUACCUAAUGGUAUAUAGGAGUGGCAUCACCUUUAUAUUAAAGCUGAGGCGGUGAAAGAUGAGUAUGCGUUCUAUUAGCUAGUUGGAGAGGUAACGGCUCCCCAAGGCGACGAUAGAUAGGGGUUCUGAGAGGGAUAUCCCCCACACUGGUACUGAGAUACGGACCAGACACCUACGGGAGGCAGCAGUGAGGAAUAUUGGACAAUGGUCGGAAGACUGAUCCAGCCAUGCCGCGUGCAGGAAGACGGCCUUAUGGGUUGUAAACUGCUUUUGCAGGGGAAGAAUAAGGAGUACGUGUACUUUGAUGACGGUACUCUGCGAAUAAGCAUCGGCUAACUCCGUG
rnacentral:rRNA from 1 species